CUUUUGUGAAGGCAGACGGGGGCCCGGGGACGGCUGCCCCCGGCUCUUCGGCGGAAAGCUAGGGCCUCAUGACCCCCAGGGUCCCCGCCACAUUCAUCUCCAUGGGCCGGCGCGCCUCCUGUCCUGGCUCCGCACGCAGCCCCACAGCCUGACCCAGCCUUCCUCCAAAGACACCUCCCAAUCCCCCAGCUGCGCUCCGAAGCCUGGACCAGGGUCUGGGAUGCCGCGGCUUGGGGAGAGAGGACGGAUGUCUGUGGAUCAUGAGCACGAGGACCCGAUUCAAACUGAAAGAGUGGGGACCAUUUGGAGGGGGAGGGAAGGGUCUGUAAUUUCCCUGGGGCUGGGUCAGGGAGGAGCUGGGGUGAGGUGAGGAGAGAAAAAGGAUGACAGGAUGAAGCCAGCGGGCAACAGGGUGAUGAGGGGGACAGGUAGGAGAAAGGGCUUAAUGCAAGCAGCAAGACAGAGACACGGACGCGGGCUCCGAGCUCAGGCUCAGAUGCAGAAAGGCUUGGAAGCAAACCCUACCCACUUCCCCCGUCAUCCCUCUCCUGGCAUAGCCUGACCUGACACUUCUCCCAGCCUGUUCCCCGAGUCCCCAGCCCUUAGUCACCGAAGCGCUGGAUCUGAGAGGCACUACCAUCUCCCCUCAGAUACACCCAGUCAUUAGUCCGGUGGCAAGGCAGAACACUGCUCUCUCCAUCCCCACUCCACCACACCCCCUACAAAGCCCCUUUGAUUCCAGGAAUGCUAGCAUGGAAAGAGGGAAGGCUCUCUCAGGCAUCUUUGUUGUCGUCCCCACCUUGGCGAUGCCUGCUCAAGAUUCCUUCCUGUGUGGGUUUGGGAUGAAAAACAUUCUUGAAAUUCUGGGGACAGGGGGCAGCUGGGGGGGGCACUGGAAUUUUUGACUUUUUUCUCUGAGCUUCCCCCUCACUUCCUAGUCUCUGGAGUGGAGGAGGAUGGGCAUAGCAGGGUUUGUUCUUCCAGGCAAGACAUGGCUAAAGUGGCGUCAGAGUGGGUAGCAAUAAGCUGAUCAACAAAGGCAGAGAGAGGCGCACACAUUAGGAGGAAAAAAUACCCACAAAGAGAGAGAGCCAGAGCGAAAAAUACAGAGUGGCUGAGAAGUAGUUAGCGAGACAGCCAUGCUUUUGUCAUGGGGUCUGGAUUCAUGGAACUGGGAUACAGGAUGGAGAGGGACAAUGGGGGAACCCCGACAAGAGGACCGCAAGGAGGAAGUGCAAAGAAUGGACUUUUAGGACUUAGCUCUAGCCCGACUUCAAUUUAACAGGUCCUUACUGAGAAACAACGGCUUUGCCUAAGGCUUUACGGUUUACACAAGUACUUUGGCUCACUUGAUCAUUAAAAACGACCCUAGAAGAUGGAAGUAGUGGUGACAUACAUAACAAAUCUGCAAAUGCCACAAACCUGGAAGCAUCAGUUAACAUGUUGGACGACAGAGUCAGGAUCCGGAAAGAUCUUGCCAGGCUGAAAUGAAAAAUGAAAUUUUAUUUCCCUUCAAUGGACCUGUGAUAUCAUCAACAUAUCGAGGUUUUGUCAUCCAAUAUGUCAGCUGACCCUCAGUUCUGUGUUAACUACUGAUCUGAAGAAGAAAACUAUGUAGCUCUUAAAGUCACCGAUGUUUAAUAGCCCAGGCCUAGUAUAGAUCCCGGAGGAACUCUACAGUAGACCUGCCACCAGGCUGACAUUGAACUAUUAAUGACUACUUUUUAUGAUUAGUUAUUUCAACCAUUUCCAAAUGUAUCUCUUGGUAUUAUGGUCUAGGUCAUACUUCUCCAUGUAUUCCACAAAAAUAGUGAGAGAUACUGUAUCAAAGGCUUUUUGAAAAUCUAGGUCAACUCUCUGUAGCAAUCUCCUGAGCUAUCA